rnacentral:lncRNA from 1 species
CAUUUCUCACAUCACCUGUUCACAAGGGAAGACUUUUAGAGCUUAUCUAUCAGCCUCAGGACUUGACGGAGACUGAAGACACAACCCUAUAAUUUCAUGGCAACCCUAAACCCCAGCAAUGACUGCUCAGACUCAGAGCAGUCCCAUUUGAAAAUGAAUUCGAUGGAGAGUCACGCAGGGAGUGAUCUCCCUGCUUCCCACACCUUCCACAAAGAGACCAAAGCCCCCUCCAAAGGUUGUAUCUGUUGCCGUGAGACGACAACCUUCUAUGACGGAUGUGUUGUAGGUUCUUCAGUCAACAACCUCCCUAUGAUUGAAGAACCAGAUGACACACAAACUCUAGGAAGAUACAUGGACAACAAAUACAGCAUUGAGGACAACCCAAACCAUGUGUGUACACCAAGCACUGAUGUGGAAGGGAAUGAGGACACAGACUCAGACAGUGAAGGCACAGGAGCUGAUCAGAUUGUCACUGCCAAUGACCUGCAGAUAAAUAUGAAUUCAACAUACAGAGGGCAACAGAUUGACCCCACGGAUGGUUGGCCAGAAAGUCAGCUUGUCAUUCUUGAACCCCCUGAGAAACGUAAAAAAGAUCGUAACAAUGAGGAGAACAAAGAAGAAAGUGAAUAUCAGGAAGCUAAUAAACAAGUUGAAAACUGUGAAAACCAAGCUGAGGGCAUGCUAAUGCAAUCAACUGAACAAGAAAAAAAGGACACCGAAAAACAGAACACCAAAGAAACCCAGAGUAAUGAAGAAGUAUAUGCAGAGCUUCAUGAACAAAUUCAGGUGUAUGAAAGACCUGAUAACACCAUGCUACCUGAUUCUCAUGAGGACGACAGAAAAGAGCAGAAUGAGAACCACAAGGAGAAGGAAGAAAUACAAAACAAUGAAGAAUAUCAGGAACCUGGUAAAUAAAAUCAGAACAAUAACAAAGCUGAUGACCUCCUGCUUCAGGGACUCCCUGAGAAAGAUUUCCACCUGGGCAGCAGUGCCCCUCCUCAUCCGGCUCAGGUCCCUUGUGAAGAACACCAUACACACGAGGACCUGCCUAACUGCAAACCACAGGAAAAUACAGAAGUCACCCAGGUCUCAGAGAUGCCAGUGACGGUCAAGGAAGAUGAACUUGCUGAGAAGCUGAAGACCAGCACCAAGGAGUCCUCCUGGGUCUCCUCGGGGCAGUCAGAGGAGGGCGCCACUCGGUCUGACACACAAACCACUGUAUGAACUUGAGGCAGGCCUUCCACUGGCUCCAGAAAAGAGUCCUCACUUGUUUGGGGAGGAGAGUGAGGGUCAGCAGCCCAUGAAAAACCCCAACCAAGAAAAAUCUUCAUACCUCUGAGUAUAUUCACCCCAAAGAAACCCCCACUGAUUAGCAUAAUCCCAAUCCCCAGAGUUUUAAGCAGUUUGAUGGC